CCGGGACCUCCCCGGCGGGAAAUGUAGCGUUAAGGAGGGCCCGUUAACACGGCGCACCGCAGCUCGCUCAAGUCCUACUUGAACGGGGUCACACAGAGGGUGACAUGCCCGUAGAGCGCACCGGGGUGCCGUGUGGACCUCUCCUCAGAGUCGGUUUGCUUGAGAGUGCAGACCUAAGCGGGUGGUAAACUCCAUCUAAGGCUAAAUAUGACCACGAGACCGAUAGCACACAAGUACCGUGAGGGAAAGGUGCAAAGAACUUUGAAGAGAGAGUUAAAUAGAACGUGAAACUGAGGUGGUUGAAACGGACGAGUGCGGAAAGUCCGAACUGAGGCGGUUCAGGGUCACUGGGACGGGAUGCCUCCGGCCGAGAUGGGGCGGGUGUCCGGGUUUCGGCUCGGUCCCAUCCGUUCGUACUCUGGUCCGGGGGCUCUUACCGGCCCGGAGGCUUGCACUCUGCCCUUAGUAGGACGUCGCGACCCGUUGGGGCGCCGUUCGAUGGCCCUCGGUGGAGCCCGCGCCUUCGUUGUGCGGACCCGGGGUGUCCUGGACGGAACCCGACGGUAUUUAAUCUAACGAGAGACCGCACCUAGCGAUGCGCCCCCCGAGCCUCUACGGGCUCGAGUCAGGGGACAGGUCUCUCCUAGUCAGCGGCGCUUCUGCUUCUGCUACUCGUCCGACCCGUCUUGAAACACGGACCAAGGAGUCUAACAUGUACGCGAGUCAUUGGGCUUGCAAAACCUAAAGGCGAAAUGAAAGCGAAGGCCGCUCUGAGUGGCCGAGGGGUGAUGGCCGGUCCCCGUGACCGUCCCGCAACCCCGGGGCACCACGAUCUCUUUGAGAUGUGGCGCACCUAGAGCGUACACGUUGGGACCCGAAAGAUGGUGAACUAUGCCUGGCCAGGACGAAGUCAGGGGAAACUCUGAUGGAAGUCCGUACUGCUUCUGACGUGCAAAUCGAUCGUCAGAGCUGGGUAUAGGGGCGAAAGACUAAUCGAACCAUCUAGUAGCUGGUUCCCUCCGAAGUUUCCCUCAGGAUAGCUGGUACUCAGAGGAAACUCAUAGGAGUCUCACCUGGUAAAGCGAAUGAUUAGAGGCCUUGGGGCCGAAACGACCUCAACCUAUUCUCAAACUUUAAAUGGGUGAGAAUCUCGGCUUACUUACUUGAAGCCGGGAGCUUAUGGAUCAGAGUGCCCAGUGGGCCAAUUUUGGUAAGCAGAACUGGCGCUGUGGGAUGAACCAAACGCAGAGUUAAAGCGCCCAAAUCGACGCUAAUGGGACACCAUGAAAGGCGUUGGUUGCUUAAGACAGCAGGACGGUGGCCAUGGAAGUCGGAAUCCGCUAAGGAGUGUGUAACAACUCACCUGCCGAAGCAACUAGCCCUGAAAAUGGAUGGCGCUGAAGCGUCGUGCUUAUACUCUGCCGUCAGGGCAUAACGCGCCCUCGUGGCGUCGCUGAAGCUCUGACGAGUAGGAGGGUCGCGUCGGUGUGCGCAGAAGCGUUGGGCGUGAGCCUGCGUGGAGCCGCCGACGGUGCAGAUCUUGGUGGUAGUAGCAAAUACUCUGGAGAGGUCCUGGAGGACUGCUUGGAGAAGGGUUUCGUGUGAACAGUUGUUGCUCACGAGUCAGUCGAUCCUAAGCCCAAGGAGAAAUCCUUCUGACGUGUCCGAGUUCCUCUCCCUGGGGAAGGCCGUCGGGCGAAAGGGAAUCCGGUUCCUAUUCCGGAACCCAGCAUCGGAGCUGUCCUUCGGUCCCCGUGAUCGUCAGGGUAACCUGAACUGCCCCAGAGAAGCCGUCGGGGGCUGCCAGGAGAGUUAUCUUUUCUGUAUAAGCGAGCACGUUCCCUGGAAUCCUCUAGGAGGGAGAUAGGGAAAAGCUGGCGAAGAGCGGCGCACUUGUGGCGUUGUUGGCAGCAUCCUCUCGGACAUUGAAAAUCUGGGUGGGGGCUACGCGGAACUCCGUGCUGGAUCGUACCCAUAUCCGCAGCAGGUCUCCGGGGC
rnacentral:rRNA from 1 species